rnacentral:tRNA from 1 species
GGGAAGGUGGCUCAGUGGUAGAGUGCCUGCCUAGCAUGCAUGAGGCCCUGGGUUCGAUUCCUCAGCACCCCA